GGGGCACUCAAAAAGUUGACACUGUUUGACAUAGUAGGUUGACAAAUUAUUUACCCAUGAAAUGAAAAAAAUCAAACACAUGUAAAAUGCAUUAAUGAACCAAAAAUUGUCAGUUUUAUUUAUUUUUAGGAAAUGAUUACAUUCAUAUAAUGUCCCCACACCCAUGUAUUUAAAUAUUUGUUUAGUGCAUGUAGGGUCAUAAAGGCCCAUAUGUUACAGACCAGAAAAUAGUAAUAAAAAUGAUAGGCGUUGAUAAUAAAAAUAAAAUAAAGAGGUUAUACACUUAGGCAUGGUUUUGUGUUCAAUGUAUAUUAUAUACUAUUCACUACAUUGAUAAGUAUAUCAUGAUAUCCAUUUUUUCUUCAUAUCCAUGAGCUUAAAUCACAGCCAUAGUCUAUCUAGCCUUAAAGAGUCGGCAAAGAUGAGUUUACAAUAAUACCUGGGGUAGACUGGAUAAUGGUAAGUAAAGACAUAAAUAUAUAUAUACUAUAUAUCUAUAUAUAUAUCUA